AGUGAACGCUGGCGGUAGGCCUAACACAUGCAAGUCGAACGGCAGCACAGUAAGAGCUUGCUCUUACGGGUGGCGAGUGGCGGACGGGUGAGGAAUACAUCGGAAUCUACUUUUUCGUGGGGGAUAACGUAGGGAAACUUACGCUAAUACCGCAUACGACCUACGGGUGAAAGCAGGGGAUCUUCGGACCUUGCGCGAUUGAAUGAGCCGAUGUCGGAUUAGCUAGUUGGCGGGGUAAAGGCCCACCAAGGCGACGAUCCGUAGCUGGUCUGAGAGGAUGAUCAGACACACUGGAACUGAGACACGGUCCAGACUCCUACGGGAGGCAGCAGUGGGGAAUAUUGGACAAUGGGCGCAAGCCUGAUCCAGCCAUACCGCGUGGGUGAAGAAGGCAUACGGGUUGUAAAGCCCUUUUGUUGGGAAAGAAAAGCAGCAGGUUAAUACCCCGCUGUUCUGACGGUACCCAAAGAAUAAGCACCGGCUAACUUCGUG
rnacentral:rRNA from 1 species